AUUGAACGCUGGCGGCAGGCUUAACACAUGCAAGUCGAGCGAGCGGCGGACGGGUGAGUAAUGUCUGGGAAACUGCCUGAUGGAGGGGGAUAACUACUGGAAACGGUAGCUAAUACCGCAUACCAUCAGAUGUGCCCAGAUGGGAUUAGCUAGUAGGUGGGGUAAUGGCUCACCUAGGCGACGAGCCCUAGCUGGUCUGAGAGGAUGACCACCAACACUGGAACUGGGAAACGGGCCAGAUCCCUACGGGGGGAAGAGGUGGGGAUUAUUGCACAAUGGGCGCAAGCCGGAUGCAGCCAGGCCGCGUGUGUGAAGAAGGCUUUCGGGUUGUAAAGCACUUUCAGCGAGGAGGCGUUACUCGCAGAAGAAGCACCGGCUAACUCCGUGCCAGCAGCCGCGGUAAUA
rnacentral:rRNA from 1 species